CCUACGGGAGGCAGCAGUGAGGAAUAUUGGUCAAUGGCGGCAACUCUGAACCAGCCAAGCCGCGUGAAGGACGACGGUCCCAAGCAUUGUAAACUUCUUUUGUGAGGGGAUAAAAUCAGGCUCGAGAGGCUGACCGAGGGUACUGCAAGAAAAAGGAUCGGCUAAUUCCGUGCCAGCAGCCGCGGUAAUACGGAGGGUCCGGGCGUUAUCCGGAUUUAUUGGGUUUAAAGGGAGCGUAGGCGGCCCGAUAAGUUAGAGGUGAAAUCCCGGGGCUCAACUGCGGAAUUGCAUCUGGGACUGUGCGGCUAGAGAGUAGUUGCGGUAGGCGGAAUGUAUGGUGUAGCGGUGAAAUGCUUAGAGAUCAUACAGAACACCGAUUGCGAAGGCAGCUUACCAUGCUACUUCUGACGUUGAGGCACGAAGGCGUGGGGAGCAAACAGGAUUAGAUACCCGGGUAGUC
rnacentral:rRNA from 1 species